rnacentral:rRNA from 1 species
AGCCCAGAGCCUGAAUCAGUGUGUGUGUUAGUGGAAGCGUCUGGAAAGGCGCGCGAUACAGGGUGACAGCCCCGUACACAAAAAUGCACAUGCUGUGAGCUCGAUGAGUAGGGCGGGACACGUGGUAUCCUGUCUGAAUAUGGGGGGACCAUCCUCCAAGGCUAAAUACUCCUGACUGACCGAUAGUGAACCAGUACCGUGAGGGAAAGGCGAAAAGAACCCCGGCGAGGGGAGUGAAAAAGAACCUGAAACCGUGUACGUACAAGCAGUGGGAGCACGCUUAGGCGUGUGACUGCGUACCUUUUGUAUAAUGGGUCAGCGACUUAUAUUCUGUAGCAAGGUUAACCGAAUAGGGGAGCCGAAGGGAAACCGAGUCUUAACUGGGCGUUAAGUUGCAGGGUAUAGACCCGAAACCCGGUGAUCUAGCCAUGGGCAGGUUGAAGGUUGGGUAACACUAACUGGAGGACCGAACCGACUAAUGUUGAAAAAUUAGCGGAUGACUUGUGGCUGGGGGUGAAAGGCCAAUCAAACCGGGAGAUAGCUGGUUCUCCCCGAAAGCUAUUUAGGUAGCGCCUCGUGAAUUCAUCUCCGGGGGUAGAGCACUGUUUCGGCAAGGGGGUCAUCCCGACUUACCAACCCGAUGCAAACUGCGAAUACCGGAGAAUGUUAUCACGGGAGACACACGGCGGGUGCUAACGUCCGUCGUGAAGAGGGAAACAACCCAGACCGCCAGCUAAGGUCCCAAAGUCAUGGUUAAGUGGGAAACGAUGUGGGAAGGCCCAGACAGCCAGGAUGUUGGCUUAGAAGCAGCCAUCAUUUAAAGAAAGCGUAAUAGCUCACUGGUCGAGUCGGCCUGCGCGGAAGAUGUAACGGGGCUAAACCAUGCACCGAAGCUGCGGCAGCGACGCUUAUGCGUUGUUGGGUAGGGGAGCGUUCUGUAA